GACAUCCAGCCGUAGCUCGGCCGGGCACACCGUGCGGGAGGGCUGCGGGGAGCGCCCCGGCCCCGCACAGCUGUUGGCUACGCUCUGCGGCCCGGGAAAGUCCCGGGGCGGCGGGGGCUGCCGGUGGGGACUUCGUGGCGGGAGCGUAAGCCCGGUGACUGCAGGAUGGGCGGCCCCUGCGGCCCCUUCCUGGGCGGAAACGGGUCGAGGCGUUAAUAUCGGCUGCCCGCCCCGCGCGGCUCGGUUCGACUCGGGACGGGACGGGCGGCGCGGCGCGGGUCGGAUCGGAUCGGAUGGGCGCGGCUCGGGCCAUGGGGCGGCUCGGGCUGCUGGGACUCCUCUGCGCGCUGCUCCUGGGCUGUGGGCAGCCUGGUGAUGCUGUGAAUUGCUCUGACAAGCAGUAUGAGCACAAGGGCAGAUGCUGCAACCGAUGCCAGCCAGGGAAGAAGCUGGCCUCUGAAUGCAACGACACAGAAGACUCUGUCUGCACACCCUGUGAGAAUGGUCAGUACCAGCAGAGCUGGACAAAGGAAAGGCACUGCACGCCCCAUGAAAUCUGUGAGGACAACGCUGGCCUCAUUGUGAAGAGACAUGGAAACGCAACGCACAACACUGUGUGCCAGUGCCGGGCCGGCAUGCACUGCUCUGAUGCCAGCUGCCAGACCUGCGUGGAGAACGAGCCCUGCAAGCAGGGCUUUGGCUUUGUGGCAGCCAUGGCUGAAGCCCGGAUGACCUCACCGUGUGAGCCCUGUGCAGAAGGCACCUUCUCCAAUGUAUCUUCCAAAACUGAGCCAUGCCACUUCUGGACAAGCUGUGAGGAAAAGGGGCUCGUGGUGAAGGUGAAAGGGACGAACACUUCCGAUGUGAUCUGUGAGUCAAGCCGGCGCUCAUCGCUGUCAGUGCUGAUCCCCAUCACAGCUGCAGUUGUCACCUGCCUGGUGGGCAUCUGCAUCUACUGCCUGGUGCACACAGACCUCAGGCGCCGUGGGCCAAAGCAGGCUGAGGCCGAGGCGCCCAGAGAGCUGGUGACGCAGCAGCCCGAGGAGGUGGACUUCCCGGUGCAGGAGACCCUGCUGGGAGGGCAGCCCGUGGCGCAGGAGGACGGCAAGGAGAGCCGCAUCGCCGAGCAGGAGCAGCUGUGAGAGUGCGGGAGCUGCCUCCGACGGGAGCAGCGGGCAGAGCCGGCACUGACCCCCCUGCAAUCGGGGCGGGAGGAGCCGAUCCGAAGCGCAGCUCUGCCCGGAGGACCCUCGGGGGGACCGUGCGGCUCGGUGUCAGGGCAUGGCAGUACCGGCCCGGCGCGGACGGGACGCGUGGGAGCCGACAAACCGACCCGUCCCGGUCCCCGACCCACGCGUGUCCGCAGCGCCGCUCUGCGCCAGGCGGUGCGCGGCCGUUCCGGCGCCAGGAGGGGGCGCUGCGGGGCCGCCGGCGGCGCGGAGCGGGCGGAGCGCUCCCGCACAGCCCCGCGUGGGCGGCUGAGGGGUCACGGCCCGGGCCCGGCGCCCUGCGGGGAUCCCGCGCCCGGUUCUGCGUGGCGAGCGCGACGCGAAGGCUCUGCCGGGGGCGACCCGGCUCAGCACCGCUCCCCUCGGCCGCCCCCGGCCCCGCCCGGGCCCGCGCCGUCGCCCCCGCAGCGCCCCGUACCGCGUGCGGCCCCCACCGCCCGGCCCGAGCUGCGGCGCUGCCGGCUGCUGACAUUUCCGCGGUUAUUGCUCCGCUCCGAGCUCUGCCAUCGCCGUUACAAUGGGAACAAUUACACUCAAUUAUUCUCCACCACACCGUUGACAAAAAAAGAUGGCAUUUAAACUUUAAUUAUUCUCUCGGUGUGCGUGAGCAGCAUGGCCCGCAGCCCGGGCAGCCCCUCAGCACUGCUCCGUCUGCACCGAGCGGUGACCCCGGGAUCGUGCUGCCACCGGGGAGGGAUGGGAGGAGCCCAGCACCCACCCCGAGCCCGGCGGGGGCUGCAGGGAGCGGUCGGAGCCCAGCACCCACCACCCGCACACGUGCAGCGUGGCAUCACGGAGGCAGUAAAUCCCAGAGCCCGGAGCAGCUGCAACUCGGAGCAGCUUUUUCCAUAAAGGCAGAGGCACGUUAUUUAAGGCUGCUCUUAAAACCUAAUGUUAGGUUUAAUAAGGGAGAUAAAAGCGUGCCAGAGGCUGUCCUGCGCGGGGCUGCGCGCUGCCGGCUGUGCAGGUGGAUGGGCCCUGCGUCCUGCUGGCACGGCCACACCAACACCCACCCCGGCGAUGCGGUGACCCCACUCCCGCUGGCACUGCCAGCAGAGGGCUGGCAUCGUGUGGGCACAGAGCCCUCGGACCCAAACACGGGGCUUUUGGCCCCAAGCAGCCUCCCCCGCUGUGCCCCUCCCCCUCACCCCCCCCCCCCCAUGCUGACCUCUCCCCACCUGCCCCCGCACGCAGGGCGUGUGCCAUCUCAUUAGUGUGUCUGUCCCCCAAAGUGAGAAGGGAGAGAGCGUGAGACCUAAUUGAAUGUAACUAAUUAUUCACUCUGCAAAUGCUGUUUAAAUGGGAUUGUGAGGGACAAAAUUACUCAUUCUGAAAAGGGGAGAGAAAGAGAGAAAGACAGAGAGAAAACAAAUAGAGGCGGGUGCUGGAGCUGCAGCUCCCUCUCUCCCCAGAAUACCAAUUACCGGAUGAAGUGAUUGUAUAAAUCUUUACCGAGUGAACGAACUGUAGUAGUCACUUACUUCUGUCCUCUUAUUACACGGAAGCAAUGAAAAAUCGUCCCUCUCUGCAGUCCAGUUAAGGGCUCCCAAGCGCUGUGCGAUGCUCUCUGCACGGCUGCGCAGCUCGGCCCCGGCGUGCGUCGGGGUGAUGACCCUACAGACGUGGGGCCAAGCACUUGGCACUGGGCUGGGCCCACUGCUCACGGCCCACACGGGUGCAGCAUUGGCAUGCACAGGGCUGGGGGAUCCCAGACCCCGUAUGGCACACGCAGUGGCCUGGUUCCACUCAAGGUGCUGUGGGUGGGCUGUGGUCACAGCAGUGCUGUGCCACCAGCAGCCCAAGCCCCCCAAGCCCUCCAUCCCCGGGCCCACAUGGCUCAGAUACAUGUUGAGGAUGCACUGGAGGAGUUGAGCUGUUGGGUCUCUCCAAGCAGCCCCGUGGCCAGACAGUGGAGGGGUGGAGGGCUGAGGGAACCCGCAGGCUGUCUUGCCUUGUGCUGGAUGGCAUCUGGCUGCUGCCGGCAGCAAGCUCCCAUGCACUGCGUGGGUGUGAGGGAGUGAUAACAUCAUCAUCAUCAUAACAAAUGCAGCUGUGCAGCUCCAUUCUGUGCUUAUUGGCUUUCUUCUGUUUAUCUAUAAAUAAUUGUGGGGACACAAUAGACUUUUAAGACUGCCGAA